rnacentral:rRNA from 1 species
CCAGACUCCUACGGGAGGCAGCAGUGGGGAAUAUUGCACAAUGGGGGAAACCCUGAUGCAGCGACGCCGCGUGAGUGAAGAAGUAUUUCGGUAUGUAAAGCUCUAUCAGCAGGGAAGAAAUAAAGUCCUUCGGACUUUGGACGGUACCUGACUAAGAAGCCCCGGCUAACUACGUGCCAGCAGCCGCGGUAAUACGUAGGGGGCAAGCGUUAUCCGGAUUUACUGGGUGUAAAGGGAGCGUAGACGGCAUAGCAAGUCUGAAGUGAAAGCCCAAGGCUCAGCCAUGGGACUGCUUUGGAAACUGUUAAGCUAGAGUGCUGGAGAGGUAAGCGGAAUUCCUAGUGUAGCGGUGAAAUGCGUAGAUAUUAGGAAGAACACCAGUGGCGAAGGCGGCUUACUGGACAGUAACUGACGUUGAGGCUCGAAAGCGUGGGGAGCAAACAGGAUUAGAUACCCCGGUA